AACUGGGCCUGAGGGACACAGAGAGGAAGGCAGUCACCCCAGUUGUCUUACCUAGUGACCUAGUCUCAACAUUUUUCUCAGCACAGCUUUUCAUGGCUGACCACAAGGCUGCAUAUAUUAAUGCACUCGUCAUAUUCAUCCACUGAAUAGCAUUCAACAACUUUUCAGGGAGGAAUUUUUUUAAAGCUGGAUGAGGAGGGAAGAGUGUGAGGCACUAAGUUUAGCAUUUCAAAACAUCUGGAUCUCCUUUAUGGUUUAUUUUUUAAUGUGUUUUCCAUGAGUCUAUUUAAACAACCACAUGGCUUGAUGGCAAAAUGAAUGCAAGUGCAGUGUGUGGAAGGGGACCCUGGAUAAAAGUUCGGCUUGCUAACUAGAGUCAAGUGACACGCUCUCGUUUCUGGACUUCUGCUGCACCCACUGGUGGUGUCCCUUGGUGUGGCUCUGCCAGGGUGUGAGGACGGGCACAGGGCUGCCUGCUCCCAGGCACUGCUGCCUGCAAUGUGCCCUGCAGACAAGAGUCUCCAACCACUCCAAAACCUGUUAGCCCGGAGGCAGGAUACGGUUCUGCUGCCAAGAGAGGAGGAUUUGCUGGAAAGGUGCUGAGAACAGGACAGUUCAGAGUGACAGUUUCUUCAGAGUUCUGCAAAGAAUUGGAUGCCGUGGGAGGAAGCACAAAGGCAUAAGCAUCUAGAGGCUGUGGAUUCCCCAGAAGAACCUAUUUCCCUGAUAACUAGAGGCUGAACAAGAGCGCGUCGUUAUAGAGGUUUAAAUAACCCACAUAAGGACUCAUCCAGAAAGGAUUUUUGAGGAAGAUGCCACACGGAAGACCCUGUGAGGACUGUGAAUACAACCACACUCCCCACAAACCAGUAGCUACCACUCUGGGUGCAGGCUGGAAGAGCUGCGAAGGCUUUCGGAGAUGACACAGUCACCUCUGCAUGCCGAGGGAAACCAGCCUUCCCUGGAGGCAUGUGCUGUUGAACUCAGCUCUCUGGGACAUUGCUUCUGCUGCCAGUGGUCAGCAAAUGGGUCACCAGCUGCACCUGGGAAUGCCAUUCCCAGACAGGCUGCGAUUUGCUCGCCCAGCGGAGGAGCAUUUCUGGAUGCACGAGCAGCCGAAUCUUGGAUUCCAAGUUGCCACUCACAGCUGAAGCGUUGGCUGAAGCCGUUCUGAAAAGCAGCACCUUCACCUGAAAGAGAAUGCAGCUGGCCCCCGAGCAAGCCCUCCCUCCGUCGCCUGCUGGCUCCUUCCCCCCCUGGCAGAGCUUACAACACACACAGCCUUCUUCUGCCACUGAAUCCAUGGCACAUGUGCUGCAGGAGAAGCGUGCUUGGUUCUGCGCUGUGGCCUGAUUCCAGGAGGGCGGAGUAGACCUAGAGGAGAGCCUCGAGUCUCCUCUGGCAAAGAGGGUGAGACUUAAGGAGCAUCACAUGAAACCAGCAGAUCUGGAUCAAACAGGGCAUCCUUCCUCGUGCAGCGCGCUGCAGAGCUGUGGCUCACCUUGUCACGAAACGUAAAUGGUGAAUCCUCGUGUGGCUCAAAAAGCAAUUGGAUGAAUCCAAGGAAGAAAUGUCCAUUGGGGGCUAUUAAAUACGAAAGUUUUCAUCACCAGGCCACAGCCUGGGGACAUGGAUAAUAUGUUCCAGCAAAAGGGGCUUUGGGGACUGCUCCAAUCAUCUUGGCUAACUUCAUCAGGUAUCUGUCAGACCACUGAGAAAGGCUUCCAGUGCUAACCUACAUACCGUAUCAGCAAGCCACUGCUUCUGCUCCGUUUGCUGCCUGCAUAAAGGUCACAGAUAAUGAUGAAAAAUAAAUAAAUAAGCCAAGAAAACCCCUCUGCCUCUCUCUCAGGUCAUUCAGGUUUGAAAUAAAUCUCUCAUCUUUCUAUUUCUGAACCCACAGAUGACUUAAGCCAAAUUGCAUUUGGAGCCGUUAUCCUCACACUUCUGUUU